AAUGGUCAGUGUUGGUACACUUCUAGCUUUCACCAUUGUCGCAAUUUCAAUUUUGAUACUAAGAUAUGUUCCUCCAGAUGAAGUACCUCUCCCAUCAUCAUUCCAAGAAUCUAUAGACUCCGUUACAUCCCGUUACAGUAUUCAAGAAAAGGAUGAUAAUCCAAAAUACCAAGUUCAAAGUAAUAAAGAUUCAGGAGCACAGGUUGAUUACCCUCUUAUUGUGAAAGAGUAUGAGCAAGAUAAAAUGAAUGAACAAACAAGACGAAAGUAUGCAAAGUGGAGCAUAACAUCCGUGUGCGUUGGAGUUCUCAUUCUCACUUCUGCUGCUUCGGCCAUAUUCCUGCCUGCCUAUGUGCGUUAUCCAGCUUGUUCUUUUGGUGGCUUAGUCCUUAUGGGCGGUCUUGUUGUUCUCUCGUGGAUCGACCAAGAUGAUGCCCGACACAGCUUUGGGCAUUCUGGAGGAUUCAUUUGCCCCUUUAUUCCACUACUGCCCAUCUGCUGCAUCCUGAUAAAUUCUUACUUGCUGGUAAAUCUCGGUGUUGGUACAUGGUUGAGGGUAUCUGUAUGGCUCAUCAUCGGGGUUCUCGUGUAUCUCUUCUAUGGAAGAAGGCACAGCUCACUCACUAAUGUGAUCUAUGUGUCGGUAGCGCAUGCAGAUGAGGUUUAUAGGACUUCGUCGGAGUAUGUGGCUUAGAUCGAUGUUAUAUCCUUCACCACUUCAUAUAUUGGGGAAAGAUUUAUAAUCAAGAAGUUCAUUUUCGGACAGUUCGUGCCGGGACAAAAUAGAGCAUAUUACCCUAUAUCUUCUAGGGAAGGGAUGUAAAUAGUAAUGAAAGAAAUGGUGAUUCUGAAAACAUAUGUUUUCAGCAGUUAUUUUCGAAAAUUAUUGGUGUGAUAUUGUAAAAGGCAAGAAUGCUUUUAAUGACAUAUUCUGAGUAAUAUGUAGUUUAUUGUUGAAUUAUAUAUGUAAUAUAUCCAAG
rnacentral:misc_RNA from 1 species